AGGGGUAGAGCUCAGUGGUAGAGCGUGUGCUUAGCAUGCAUGGGUUCAAUCCCCAGUACCUCUG
rnacentral:tRNA from 1 species